AAAAUUUAAAAUUAAAAUAUUAAAAUAGUAGAUAAAAUAUUUGUUGAAACUUAAAUAAUUUGGCGGUAUUUUAGUUCAUUUAGAGGAAUCUGUUUAAUAAUUGAUAUUCCACGAAUAAAUUUACUUAAUUUAUAAUUUUGUAUAUCGUUGUUAAAAAAAUAUUUUUUAAUGAGAUUAAUAUUUAAAAAUUAAAAUAUAAAUUUAAAUCAGAUCAAGAUGCAGAUUACAAUUAAGAAUAUAAUGGAUUACAAUAAAUUUAUUUAAAUGGAUUUUAAUUUUUAAUGGAGUUAAUUGAAAGUGGAUUUAAAUGUAAUUUUAUUUAAUUUAAUAAAAUGAUUAAAAAUUAAAAUAUGU
rnacentral:rRNA from 1 species